UAGAGGAAGUAAAAGUCGUAACAAGGUUUCCGUAGGUGAACCUGCGGAAGGAUCAUUACAGUAGUCGCCCGGGUUGCCGCAAGGCCUCCCGGGUAACCUACCACCCUUUGUUUAUUACACUUUGUUGCUUUGGCAGGCCUGCCCUCGGGCUGCUGGCUCCGGCCGGCGAGCGUCUGCCAGAGGACCUAAACUCUGUUUGUCUAUACUGUCUGAGUACUAUAUAAUAGUUAAAACUUUCAACAACGGAUCUCUUGGUUCUGGCAUCGAUGAAGAACGCAGCGAAAUGCGAUAAGUAAUGUGAAUUGCAGAAUUCAGUGAAUCAUCGAAUCUUUGAACGCACAUUGCGCCCCCUGGUAUUCCGGGGGGCAUGCCUGUCCGAGCGUCAUUACAACCCUCAAGCUCAGCUUGGUGUUGGGCCCCGCCGCCCCGGCGGGCCCUAAAGUCAGUGGCGGUGCCGUCCGGCUCCGAGCGUAGUAAUUCUUCUCGCUCUGGAGGCCCGGUCGUGUGCUCGCCAGCAACCCCCAAUUUUUUUCAGGUUGACCUCGGAUCAGGUAGGGAUACCCGCUGACUUAAGCAUAU
rnacentral:rRNA from 1 species